rnacentral:lncRNA from 7 species
CGGUUCAACUAAUUUUCUCAGGUCUCAUCAUGAAGCUUCGCGUGUUCAUCGUUGCUGUCCUGAUUGUGAUCAACUUGGGCACCUGCAUGGCAAAGGUUGGAUCUUACGGCACAACUGUGUCAGCGUCACCGAGGCAAAUCCGAGUACUUACCGCCGCAACUGAUGGAAGAAAUGGACCUCCCAGCAAUGAUCACCAGUG